rnacentral:rRNA from 1 species
GCUAAUACCGCAUAACGUCGCAAGACCAAAGUGGGGGACCUUCGUUCCUCAUGCCAUCAGAUGUGCCCAGAUGGGAUUAGCUAGUAGGUGGGGUAACGGCUCACCUAGGCGACGAUCCCUAGCUGGUCUGAGAGGAUGACCAGCCACACUGGAACUGAGACACGGUCCAGACUCCUAGGGGAGGCAGCAGUGGGGAAUAUUGCACAAUGGGCGCAAGCCUGAUGCAGCCAUGCCGCAUGUGUGAAGAAGGCCUUCGGGUUGUAAAGCACUUUCAGCGG